CAGAGAGUCAUGAGGUGCUCAUUAAUUCCAAUAGGGUACUCACUUAGUUCAUGAGUUCAUUCUUGAUGGUAAAACCAAGUCCAUGAUGCUGGUGUUCUCCUUCCUCUUUACCCUUCCAGAAGGAGGUAUAGCCAACUCCAUGUUCUUUGAGCUGCCCAUCUCCUGCUCCCUGGGUCCUGUUAGUGCA